rnacentral:rRNA from 1 species
UACGUAGGGUGCGAGCGUUGUCCGGAAUUAUUGGGCGUAAAGGGCUCGUAGGCGGUCUGUCGCGUCGGGAGUGAAAACUCAGGGCUUAACCCUGAGCCUGCUUCCGAUACGGGCAGACUAGAGGUAUGCAGGGGAGAACGGAAUUCCUGGUGUAGCGGUGAAAUGCGCAGAUAUCAGGGGGAACACCGGUGGCGAAGGCGGUUCUCUGGGCAUUACCUGACGCUGAGGAGCGAAAGUGUGGGGAGCGAACAGG